AUUACCAUAGUUUAAUUGGUUAAAAUUUUUGUUUUGCAUACAAGCGUUAUUGGUUCAAGUCCAAUUGGUUCCA
rnacentral:tRNA from 1 species